rnacentral:rRNA from 1 species
UACGGGGGGGGCAAGCGUUGUUCGGAAUUACUGGGCGUAAAGGGCUCGUAGGCGGCCAACUAAGUCGGAUGUGAAAUCCCCAGGCUCAACUUGGGAACUGCAUCCGAUACUGGAUGGCUUGAAUCCGGGAGAGGGAUGCGGAAUUCCAGGUGUAGCGGUGAAAUGCGUAGAUAUCUGGAGGAACACCGGUGGCGAAGGCGGCAUCCUGGACCGGCAUUGACGCUGAGGAGCGAAAGCCAGGGGAGCAAACGGG